ACCCCGCUUGUUCAGCAAGAUGAAGAAAAAGCGCGCGAGAAGAACGUUCUGCUGAUCGUGGGAUUGGGAAAGCCCAAAGCCCGAAAAAACCGUUCCCCGAGGAUUGGGAUAGCCCAAAGCCCGCUCAAAUAUCAGCAGCCCGGUCGCGAUCCAGAAAGGCGCAAAGUAGCGUAAGUUUUCUUUCAACCAAAGCUUCUGAUUCGUUGAGAAUGCAAUUCAAAGCUCCUCAAUAUCCCACGAAUUCCACUUUCUCAUACUUUCCCACUCUCGUCAAAUUCCAAUAAAACCAUUUCCUCACCCUUUACAAAAAGAAUUUUCACAUCUCCAACUUCUUUCAAUUUUUCCGGCUAUCGAUGGCAACAAGAAACCGUACCGUAGUGUACAAGAAGCACAGAGAUGAAGUCAAGAGCGUGCGUGCUCCUUUAUCAUCGUCGCUGCCCGGUUCUAGCGGUCCGGUUAUCGAAAUGGUUAGCGCUUCGUUUCUUCGCUCCCAACAUUCCUCUUAUACUCCACUGAGCACCGAAGAUCCAGGUCCUUCCACUUCCAGUGGUGAUGCGUUUACGAUUGGUCUGCCGCUGGCGUGGGUGGAUGAUUCUGAGGAAAUAUCGCUGAAUAUUCAAAGAAUUCGAACCAAAAUGGGUGAGUUAGUCAAGGCGCACGCGAAAGCUUUAAUGCCAACAUUUGGAGACGGAAAAGAAGAUGAACGAGUGAUUGAAGGUCUUACUCGAGAGAUUACGGGUUUAUUGAGAAAUUCCGGGACUAGAUUAAAGAAAAUUUCUGCAAGUGAGUCUUUUGAGGACUCAAAUGUAAGAAAGAAUGUACAGCGGGCGCUUGCAACAGAACUUCAGAACUUGUCGAUGGAUCUCCGUAGAAAACAAUCCAUGUAUCUAAAACGUCUGCAGCAGCAAAAAGAGGGACAUGACGGGGUUGAUUUAGAGAUGAGCCUGAAUGCGAACAAGUUUAGAUCGGAAGAUGAUGGAUUUAGUGACGUGGGUUUUAAUGAGGGUCAGAUGCUUAAGCUAAAGAAGAGUGAGCAAUUUACUGUUGACAGGGAAAGCGAGAUCAAACAGGUCACAGAAUCAGUGCAUGAGCUUGCUCAAAUCAUGAAAGACCUAUCGGUUCUGGUGAUAGAUCAGGGCACAAUUGUUGAUCGGAUAGACUAUAAUAUUCAUAAUGUUGCGUCAACAGUAGAGGAGGGCUUUAAACAGUUGCAGAAGGUCCAAUUCUCUCUUUCUCUCCGACUUGCAGAAGCUGGGAUGAUAACAUAUUCACAUGUGUGCAUACACGCUACCACCCACGGCACAGCACAUCCAUCUUUCUAGAACAGAGUUUCUAAUUUUGUGAAAUUCAACAUGUUCUUUCUGUUGCUAAUACCAUCCAUACACUGAUCAAUUCUAUGCAGAGAGAAAUCAGAAGAAAGGAGGAAUGGUGAUGUGUGCAACAGUACUUGUUAUAAUGUGCUUCAUAAUGCUGACCCUCUUGAUCCUCAAGGAGUCGCUGUUGUGAUCAAAUUAUGUUGUCAUUUGACACCUUGAGCCUGUUGUGCAUAGCUCUCGAAUUCAAUGAAAAACAAACUGACUGAUAGGUUUUAACCCACUUGGAUUGUGGAGAUUAAAUGGUUCGAGAUCACAUUUUACCAUGCCGGUAGCUGAGCAUCCCUCCCCUUCAUCAUUUGAUUGGUGGGCUCGUCCAGCUUCUGUUCUUUAUUGCAAGUGUCUACAGACUACCGCCCUCAUUUCGACAUGGAGAUGCUUUUUUGUGUACAUGUGAGCAGGCAUAGAAGCCAAGGGUAUAUGAUGGUUGAACUAAUACUAACCAAAAGUUACUGCACGAAUUUGUUAGCAUAGCAUCCUUUCCGUUCAUGCUUAUUUUGUAUAUAAUGUUUUUUUUUAAUCUAAACGCUUUUAUUUAUUUUAAGUAGAA